CUACAGCGGACCAUAUCAGGGAAGAAACUCCUUUUUUGUGGCGACAAAUGUCAUUGUAACAAAGAACCAAAAACAAGGUAAUUGCCCCGAGGUUCUACCACAUGGGAAACUGUGUCGAACAGAUAAAGACUGUGAGAAAGGGUUUUCUGACCAACAUAGCCAUGGUGUUCAAACAGGUGGCUGUGUGAAGUUAGAUGUACUAAAGAAAACGUGUGAAGUUACAGCUUGGUGCCCCAUUGAGAACAAGAGGAAUCCCAGGUCUGCUCUUUUGGCAUC